UGCAGCCAAACGCAAAGCAUGGAAACUAAACCGUGUUGGUAGCCUGCGAAAUAUAUACAGCAGCAGCAGCACCAACACUGAAGGGGGAAUUGUCAUCCGAUAAGGUACCAGUGGAGCUUGACCCCCGUGGUAUCUUCUUUCAAAGCAUUCGUUCAAGAAAGAUAAAACAAGAGAGAAAAAUAAUAGCAUUUUAGCAACAGUCCCAACACCUACAGGACCAAGUAUCUUUUUUUGUGGUAUUUUAAAGGGUAUUAAAAUGCUCGUUCACUAUU